GGUAACGGCUUACCAAGGCAGCGAUAGGUAGGGGUCCUGAGAGGGAGAUCCCCCACACUGGUACUGAGACACGGACCAGACUCCUACGGGAGGCAGCAGUGAGGAAUAUUGGACAAUGGGCGAGAGCCUGAUCCAGCCAUGCCGCGUGCAGGAAGACUGCCCUAUGGGUUGUAAACUGCUUUUACAGAGGAAGAAUCGCCACUACGUGUAGUGGUUUGACGGUACUCUGCGAAUAAGGAUCGGCUAACUCCGUGCCAGCAGCCGCGGUAAUACGGAGGAUCCAAGCGUUAUCCGGAAUCAUUGGGUUUAAAGGGUCCGUAGGCGGGCAGUUAAGUCAGUGGUGAAAGUCUUCCGCUCAACGGGAGAACUGCCAUUGAUACUGAUUGUCUUGAGUUAUUAUGAAGUGGUUAGAAUGAGUAGUGUAGCGGUGAAAUGCAUAGAUAUUACUCAGAAUACCGAUUGCGAAGGCAGAUCACUAAUAAUAUACUGACGCUGAUGGACGAAAGCGUAGGUAGCGAACAGGAUUAGAUACCCUGGUAGUCUACGCCGUAAACGAUGGUUACUAGCUGUUCGGAUCGAUUGAGAUCUGAGUGGUUAAGCGAAAGUGAUAAGUAACCCACCUGGGGAGUACGUUCGCAAGAAUGAAACUCAAAGGAAUUGACGGGGGCCCGCACAAGCGGUGGAGCAUGUGGUUUAAUUCGAUGAUACGCGAGGAACCUUACCAGGGCUUAAAUGUAGUCUGACAGGGGUGGAAACACCCUUUUCUUCGGACAGAUUACAAGGUGCUGCAUGGUUGUCGUCAGCUCGUGCCGUGAGGUGUCAGGUUAAGUCCUAUAACGAGCGCAACCCCUGUGGUUAGUUGCCAGCGAGUAAUGUCGGGAACUCUAGCCAGACUGCCGGUGCAAACCGCGAGGAAGGUGGGGAUGACGUCAAAUCAUCACGGCCCUUACGUCCUGGGCCACACACGUGCUACAAUGGUAGGGACAGAGAGCAGCCACUUCGCGAGAAGGAGCGAAUCUACAAACCCUAUCACAGUUCGGAUCGCAGUCUGCAACUCGACUGCGUGAAGCUGGAAUCGCUAGUAAUCGCAUAUCAGCCAUGAUGCGGUGAAUACGUUCCCGGGCCUUGUACACACCGCCCGUCAAGCCAUGGAAGCCGGGGGUACCUGAAGUCGGUCA
rnacentral:rRNA from 1 species